rnacentral:rRNA from 1 species
AGUGACCGCUGGCGGCAGGCCUAACACAUGCAAGUCGAGCGAGCGGCGGACGGGUGAGUAAUGUCUGGGAAACUGCCUGAUGGAGGGGGAUAACUACUGGAAACGGUAGCUAAUACCGCAUACAAUCAGAAGUUCCCAGAUGGGAUUAGCUAGUAGGGUGGGUAACGGCUCACCUAGGAAACGAUCCCUAGCUGGUCUGAGAGGAUGACCAGCCACACGGGAACUGAGACACGGUCCAGACUCCUACGGGAGGCAGCAGUGGGGAAUAUUGCACAAUUGGCGCAAGCCUGAUACAGCCAUGCCGCGUGUGUGAAGAAGGCCUUCGGGUUGUAAAGCACUUUCAGCGGGGAGGCGUUACCCGCAGAAGAAGCACCGGCUAACUCCGUGCCAGCAGCCGCGGUAAUAC